rnacentral:rRNA from 1 species
CCUACGGGUGGCAGCAGUGGGGAAUAUUGCACAAUGGGGGAAACCCUGAUGCAGCGACGCCGCGUGAGUGAAGACGUAUCUCGGUAUGGUAAGCUCUAUCUGCAGGGAAGAAAAUGACGGUACGUGACUAAGUAUCCCCGUCUAACUACGUGCCAGCAGCCGCGGUAAUACGUAGGGGGCAGGCGUUAUCCGGAGUUACUGGGUGUAAAGGGAGCGUAGACGGCGUUGCAAGUGCGGAGUGAAAGCCCAUGGCUUAACCAUGGUACUGCUCUGGAAACUGUGGAGCUAGAGUGCGGGAGGGGCAGGCGGAAUGCCUGGUGUAGCGGUGAAAUGCGUAGAUAUUAGGAAGAACACCGACGGCGAAGGCAGCCUACUGGACCGUAACUGACGUUGAGGCACGAAAGCGUGGGGAGCAAACAGGAUUAGAUACCCCAGUAGUC